AUACUGUAAUAGUUCAUGACUUGAAAAUUAUACUGACCAUCAUUUGCAUUGACCAUUUAAGAAAAUCUGAGAAAAUAUCACUUGCAUAAUAUUUUAAAACACGGUGUAGUGGUUUUAGGAACCUCAUAGGAAAAACAAAAUAUUGCAGCGAGCAGAAAAUAGAGUGGAAUAAAAUAAUAUAAAUAUCCUUUAUUGCAGGAUGAAGGAUAGUUCAGCAAAUACUCGCACGCAAAGAUCAUAAAAUAAAUAAAAGAUUAAAAAAUCAAAAUACUGAGGUAAUAAAAAAAAUAGUGCACUCUUUUCCAGAAGAAUUUGCAACUAAAGUUAAUAAAUAAAAAUAUUUAGGCCUGUUUCAGCAUUAAAGUGACAAUUGGCGACAAUAGAAACUGUCCAGCACCAGAGACGUUAUUCAGAAUGAGCAAAGCUGUAUAGAUACCAGCAUGGAUGUAAAACGAAAGCACAGUUUAAUGUUUCGCCUUUCCUCUCAAACCGGUGAAACGGUGUAAUCCUGAUACGCCUCUGCUGCAUGUCUAGGCAGCAGAGCUCCAAAGUUCUUGUUACGUUAUCGACUGCCAGCCCUUUCAAUCUGAUAACGUGUUUAACGAGUCUUUUCUCCAUAACAAGGAUUAUGAAAUUACCCGUAUGUUACAGGCAAUCAUUCUUGGUAGGUAUAGGUCAUUUAUUGUUAGUUUAUUUAAAUGUUUUUGAUGUAGGUUUCUGAACUUGCAGAUACCUUCACAAAUGACACAUUAAAUCAAACUGCAGGAAAAAUGUUUUGAAACAAAAGUCUUACGGUGAAGCACAGUAAAAUUAAUCUUAGUUUCAGAUUAUCCAUCAGCAUCAGUAAAGUGUUUAGAAUAAAAAAAAACAACAAACGAGUUAUUUCUGGCCUCUAAAUGACAUUAUGCAGGUACAAUUUUGGAGCUUUAAAUGUUAAAUCUUUAACGACAAGAACUGCUAACUGGGUUUGUCAAAGGUGAACGAGUCGCAGUUUUUUAUGGAUAACCAGACGCUGCAUUGAGAAGGCGGCUCACCGAGUGACGGACUUACUGACAUGUCGCUGCUGCAGAUCCUUAAAGAUUUCAGAUGAAAAAUCCCUGUUUCAUGGAACAAACAAGAGCAUCAGAAUAAGACAAUAAGGCGAAGGAGUUUGCUUUUAGUGUUUUAUAAUGCUGACUGUCUUUCUCUGCACUGAGCAGGGUGUGAUUGAGAUGUCUUACACGAAUACAGCUUAUUCAAUAUAUGUUUUAAAAACAUUACUUUUAUAGUAAUGUUCUUAGCAUGAUCAUUUGUAGACUUUUUAAACUUUAAUUUUUAGGAAAACAAAAUGUUUUUUUUUUAAACUGCACUUGUGGGAUUUGGAAAGUAUGAAUGUCUGGUCACUCAAACAAACCCUCACAAAACUGGCUGGUUGGAACUAGUUAGAACAUCAACUAAGCGUUUUAAUUUUUUUUGUUUUAUGUUUAAAACUCUGCUCAGGUUGUUGUCGUUUUUGUCCAGAGUUGCUAAGGAAGGACAUGAGACUUCGGUGACGAAGGCAGCAGAGAUCUGGUCCAGAGUCUGUGGUUUAUGGAGGACUAAACCUGCCAUAUUCAGAAAUAAAAAAGGGCACGACGUGAACAUGCUGUCACGUGAAGUUUGUGACUCAUUCUCCCUUAAACUUACUUUCAAUAGAAAUCUUUUAAUAUCAAACCAAUCAAGAAUCCCAUAGCUUUCUUGCUGUGAUCAGAAAAAUAUGGAGGACUUAACCUGACAAAAUCAAGAAUAAAUGCAGAAAUAAAUGGCUGAAUUGGAUUAUUACUAUACUGAUAAAAGAACAAAAAAACAAAUUUAUUUUUCAUAAAAUAGAUUUUACUGUUUUAAUUUCUAACUGUAGCAAUUUACCUCAGUGCUAGUAUAGCCUGGGUAAUUCUGGUUAUUUUUUAUUAAUUUUUCUGUUCAUUUCAUUCACCAUCAUUUCAUUCUGUUCAUUUCUAUUUGUUUUCCUUAAAUUUUUCUUAUCAUUAUGUGAUUAGUUUUGCAAUGGAUUUUAUACAUGUGACUCUCACUUAUUAUAAUUACUGCAUUCCUUGAGUUCAGUAUUUAUUUCUGUGUUUAUUCUUCAUAACUUGAUCAUUACUAGUCAAGUUAUUCCUCUACUUCUCAGUUUAAAGCCUGCAGUUGUUUACUUUUCAGUUACUAAUUAAACAUUUUUGUUUUUACUUGGCAUAAACGUUGAUGAUGCUUUGUUUAGUCUGUCUCUGCCCUCAUCUGCUGAAUGUCUUUAAACUCCUUAAUUAAAUUUCUGAGUGUUUUAGAUCACCUCUUGACAUGAUGACUAGAAAGAAAGAAAAAGCAUCUCCACCCAUGAGAACUAUUCAAUUUUCACACUGCUGCAGUCUGCGGACUUCCUCAAGCAGCCACAACGAACUGCACUGGUGAGUACAACGUAAAACACUGCACUGUUUACUUAUCUACAUGAAUUGUAUUUACCUUUUAGUGUGCAAAGUUUAUAACUUGUGCUUGAAUAAAGGCGUUUUUGUUGGAAAACA